rnacentral:rRNA from 1 species
UGGGGAAUAUUGGACAAUGGACGAAAGUCUGAUCCAGCGAUUCUGCGUGGAGGAUGAAGCAUUACGGUGUGUAAACUCCUUUUCUGGUGGAAGACGAAUGACGGUACACCAGGAAUAAGCAUCGGCUAACUAUGUGCCAGCAGCCGCGGUAAUACAUAGGAUGCAAGCGUUAUCCGGAGUCACUGGGCGUAAAGGGUUCGCAGCCGGAUCUAUAAGUCUGUUUUCAAAUUCUUUCGCUCAACGAAAGGCAGGGAAUAGAUACUGUAGAUCUAGAGGUUUUUGGAGGGUAAUGGAAUUCCAGGUGGAGCGGUGAAAUGUGUUGAUAUCUGGAAGAAUGCCGAAAGCGAAAGCAGUUACCUACAAUUUACCUGACGGUCAGGAACGAAAGCUUGGGGAGCAAAUGGG